UACGGAGGGGGCUAGCGUUGUUCGGAAUUACUGGGCGUAAAGGGCGCGCAGGCGGCUGCUCAAGUCAGGCGUGAAAGGCCUGGGCUCAACCCGGGAAUUGCGCUUGAGACUGGGCUGGCUUGAGUGCGGGAGAGGAUGGUGGAAUUCCCAGUGUGGAGGUGAAAUUCGUAGAUAUUGGGAAGAACACCGGUGGCGAAGGCGGCCAUCUGGACCGCAACUGACGCUGAGGAGCGAAAGCCAGGGGAGCAAACGGG
rnacentral:rRNA from 1 species